AGAGUUUGAUCAUGGCUCAGAACGUACGCUGGCGGCACGCCUUAUACAUGCAAGUCGAACGGAGUAGCAAUACUUAGUGGCAGACGGGUGAGUAACAUGUAGGUAUCUUCCCUUUGGUGAAGAAUAACACGAGGAAACUUGUGCUAAUACUUCAUAAGUCUUUACGGAGAAAGCUUUAUGCGCCAGAGGAUGAGCCUGCACUUGAUUAGUUUGUUGGUGGGGUAAUGGCCCUACCAAGACUUUUGAUCAAUAGCUGAUCUGAGAGGAUGAUCAGCCACAUUGGGACUGAGAACACGGCCCAAACUCCUACGGGAGGCAGCAGUAGGGAAUAU
rnacentral:rRNA from 1 species